rnacentral:rRNA from 1 species
AUUGAACGCUGGCGGCAGGCCUAACACAUGCAAGUCGAGCGGAUGAAGGGAGCUUGCUCCUGGAUUCAGCGGCGGACGGGUGAGUAAUGCCUAGGAAUCUGCCUGGUAGUGGGGGAUAACGUCCGGAAACGGGCGCUAAUACCGCAUACGUCCUGAGGGAGAAAGUGGGGGAUCUUCGGACCUCACGCUAUCAGAUGAGCCCAGGUCGGAUUAGCUAGUUGGUGGGGUAAAGGCCUACCAAGGCGACGAUCCGUAACUGGUCUGAGAGGAUGAUCAGUCACACUGGAACUGAGACACGGCCCAGACUCCUACGGGAGGCAGCAGUGGGGAAUAUUGGACAAUGGGCGAAAGCCUGAUCCAGCCAUGCCGCGUGUGUGAAGAAGGUCUUCGGAUUGUAAAGCACUUUAAGUUGGGAGGAAGGGCAGUAAGUUAAUACCUUGCUGUUUUGACGUUACCAACAGAAUAAGCACCGGCUAACUUCGUG